ACAAACUUGGUCAUUUAGAGGAAGUAAAAGUCGUAACAAGGUUUCCGUAGGUGAACCUGCGGAAGGAUCAUUAACAAUUGUCCAGUCGUAUGGAUAAUUUAUCCAUAUCCACCUUGUGUGCACUAUUGAUUUGUUUGUUGGCAGGUUAGCUCUGGAAUGGGGCUUUUGCUCGGCCUGCCAAUUUUUCCUUUUAAACAUGUCUAAAUAUUUUGGACUGAAAUAUUUACUUUAAUAAUAAAUACAACUUUCAACAACGGAUCUCUUGGCUCUCGCAUCGAUGAAGAACGCAGC
rnacentral:misc_RNA from 1 species